rnacentral:rRNA from 1 species
UGGGGAAUAUUGGACAAUGGGCGAAAGCCUGAUCCAGCCAUGCCGCGUGAGUGAUGAAGGCCUUAGGGUUGUAAAGCUCUUUUACCCGGGAUGAUAAUGACAGUACCGGGAGAAUAAGCCCCGGCUAACUCCGUGCCAGCAGCCGCGGUAAUACAGAGGGGGCAAGCGUUGUUCGGAAUUACUGGGCGUAAAGGGCGCGUAGGCGGCCGCCUAAGUCAGACGUGAAAUCCCUCGGCUCAACCGGGGAACUGCGUCCGAUACUGGGUGGCUUGAAUCCGGGAGAGGGAUGCGGAAUUCCAGGUGUAGCGGUGAAAUGCGUAGAUAUCUGGAGGAACACCGGUGGCGAAGGCGGUAUCCUGGACCGGCAUUGACGCUGAGGCGCGAAAGCUAGGGGAGCAAA